AUUGAACGCUGGCGGCAGGCCUAACACAUGCAAGUCGAGCGGUAGAGAGAAGCUUGCUUCUCUUGAGAGCGGCGGACGGGUGAGUAAAGCCUAGGAAUCUGCCUGGUAGUGGGGGAUAACGUUCGGAAACGGACGCUAAUACCGCAUACGUCCUACGGGAGAAAGCAGGGGAGCUUCGGGCCUUGCGCUAUCAGAUGAGCCUGGGUCGGAUUAGCUAGUUGGGGAGGUAAUGGCUCACCAAGGGGACGAUCCGUAACUGGUCUGAGAGGAUGAUCAGUCACACUGGAACUGAGACACGGUCUAGACUCCUACGGGAGGCAGCAGUGGGGAAUAUUGGACAAUGGGCGAAAGCCUGAUCCAGCCAUGCCGCGUGUGUGAAGAAGGUCUUCGGAUUGUAAAGCACUUUAAGUUGGGAGGAAGGGCAUUAACCUAAUACGUUAGUGUUUUGACGUUACCGACAGAAUAAGCACCGGCUAACUCUGUGCCAGCCGCCGCCGUAA
rnacentral:rRNA from 1 species